CGGCGGGGGCAGGAGGGGACCGGCCCCCGGCCGCUCCCCGCCGAGGCGAAACGGGAUGCGGAGGGCACCAACGGCCGGGAACGACCUCCGCCGCAGAGACCCCGCGGCUGAGUGCUCUGAAGCAUGCGUGCUGUCAGCCUGCUCUAGAGAUGAAAGCCACCUGCAGAGUGGACAUGGGCCAGUCUGCAUUACUUGGCCAGGGAUCCGUGGACUGCUGUCUGAGGUUUCUGGAUGACAACUUCUCAUCUAUCCGGGGAAUUUUUUGGUAGAACUGUUGGCACCCAGUCACUGUGCAUUUGCUCUGCAGCUCUCAGCACCACUUACCAUGCGUCCCUCUCAAGGAAUGACAUGUCUUUCUAAGGAAACAGUGGUGGUGAACACUUAUUCAGGCUACAUUUGCCAUGAGUUUGUUCAUGGACAAUAUGUUUUAUGAAUACUGUUGCAGUUUAUUUUUCACACAGAUGACUCCUAUGAAUUAGCUUUUGUCAGACAGACACAGAGUCAUCAGUUCCCAUUCCAGUCCCUGACACUAGCACAAUCUGUGGGUUUGAACUCUUCAUUAAAGAAAUUGGAUUAUGAAACACAAGUCUCAGAAACAGGUUUAGUAAAUGGUGGUAAAAUAUAAUGAAAAUCUGAAAGCCCUGAUAACUUUUUUUUUACUGUUUUGAAAAGCUUGACAUGCUGUUUUGUAUUGUAACUUCCUCCAAUUCCCUGUUCUUGUUAGGGAAGCUAAUGUAAUGGGGGAGGCAGAAAGGUGGAUAAUAGUCCUGCCUUCAGCAUCUGGACGGCAGCAUGGAUUUGAGCAUAGCUUUAAAAGGCAACCACAGGCUUGCUGUAUGGUUUUAUGUUAUGCUUUUGCAGGCUCUGAAUGAAUUUGAUAUGCACCAUGAAAAAUUUCUAAAGUAAACUUUGCAUGGAAGGGGUAUAAUGUAGGGACCAUUUGCCCCAUCUCAUUAAACCAAAUGGUAACCUUGGGAUUGUAACCGUGUGAAUUUUACAUGUUGUGACUGAAGGGAUGACCCCAGAAUGGGCACGUGCACUUGACAAACGUCAGUCUAGCUAACACAGGAGCAAACAGCAGUGGAGAUGUGGUAGACUAGACCUCCGUACCAAAUGGGUGCUGGAAACUUUGUCCAGCUCAUAGCAAAGCACAUGUCACCUUGUCUUCACUGCAUGGGUCCUGUAGGUGAUUACACAUGGGGGAGAAGCUGUAACUAGCUGUAAAUAAGAGAGGAUGUGUGAGUGGCCUGGCCAUUUCCAGGGUGCGUUUUCCCCUCACCCUCAGAGGCAGUGAAAUGACAUUAACCUGAAGCACAUGUCAUGCAGAGCAGGCCCUGCUUCUGCCUGGGCACUCUACCUCUGAAAGUAUGAUGGGAAGAAACAGCCAAGACUUGAAUUUUCGAAGGCAUGCAAGAAACCGGGCACCCAGCUUCCAUCAGGUUUUAACAAAAAUGAGGCACCUUAGGCUUCAGUUGUGAGAAAUGUUGAGCUUAUGCCAAAUCCAUGGUCUUCACUCAGGGCAGAAAGUUCUGCUCACUUGGCAGGAUCACGCAGGAUCUCCCAUAGGAAGAUCUCGGCUGUAAGACCUUCUGUCACUGCCAGCAACCCUCACAUGUUGGUUUUUUAUGAGAUGCUGGAGUUUUCUUCUGUACAGGCUCAACACCUAAGCUAUGCCCCCCAAACCAAGAGGAAGGAGCCCCUGGACUGCAGUGAGCUGUGGACAAAGCUUGCAAGGAGUGAUGUCUUCUGAAUGAAGGAAGAGGACCGUGGGGUUGGAGAGCAGAUGGAAAGGAAAGGGAAACCUCCACCAGCCAGCUCACGGUUCAGGUUUUGAAGCAUUAUCAACCAAAAGAAAAGCCUGGGAACACAAUCUUCCAUCAAAGCUCUCCUGCAGAAACACAGUUUCAGGCCUCCUUGUCAAACCACAGUAGAUGGUCGGCAUGUUUGGAAGGAUAUAAUUUCUUUCUCUACUAGUAGACUUGUUCUGUAUGGGACUGGUGAGGGAGGGGGGGGAAAAAUGAGUGUGUUAAAACCUGUAGCGGAUGGAUGCUCUUUCUGUUUAGGGUUUAGCUACUGACUGUACUAGGUACUGUUGGAUUUGCAAAGAAAUACGGAUUUGCUUAUCAUCACCACAGGUAAGAUGACAUAUGAAAGCUACUUGAAGACUGUGAAGGUCUGUAAAGGUAGCUAUGCAUGUCACACAGACAAUAUCCUUAUGUGGCUGUGUGUACAUCCCAUUAAGUUAAAGGAAUAACUAUUUUCCUGUUUCCAGUCUUCUAACUAUGUAAUUAUAUUUCUGUAUAAAGGGAACAGUAGGUAAAGGGAAAAAUAAGUACGGUUGUUUUUACAUACACAUGUACACAUAUAUGUGUGUGUGUGUGUUUGUAUAUGUAUAAAUAUAAAGAGUUCUACUACAAUAAAGCCAGC